GAGAGAGACGGUUUAGAAAGAAAAAUAACAGAUGUUGAAAACACACUGGAGCUUUUAAAAUACACAACCAGACAGAGAGCAAGGUCAGCCCAGAGGAAAAGGAAGGUCAGCCCAGAGGAAAAGGAAGGUCAGCCCAGAGGAAAAGGAAGAGGAAGUUCAGCCUGGAGGAAGAGGAAGGUCAGCCUGGAGGAAGAGGAAGGUCAGCCCAGAGGAAAAGGGAGCGGAGAGGAAGGUCAGCCUAGAGGAAAAGGGAGAGGAAGUUCAGCCUGGAGGAAGAGGAAGGUCAGCCUGGAGGAAGAGGAAGGUCAGCCUGGAGGAAGAGGAAGGUCAGCCUGGAGGAAGAGGAAGGUCAGCCUGGAGGAAGAGGAAGGUCAGCCUGGAGGAAGAGGAAGGUCAGCCUGGAGGAAAAGGGAGAGGAAGGUCAGCCUAGAGGAAAAGGGAGAGGAAGUUCAGCCUGGAGGAAGAGGAAGGUCAGCCUGGAGGAAGAGGAAGGUCAGCCUGGAGGAAGAGGAAGAUCAGCCUGGAG